AGGCGGUGGAUGAUGUGGUUUAAUUCGAUGCAACGCGAAAACCUUACCCACCUUUGACAUGUAUGGAAGUUUCCAGAGAUGGAUUCGUGCUCGAAAGAGAGCCAUAACACAGGUGCUGCAUGGCUGUCGUCAGCUCGUGUCGUGAGAUGUUGGGUUAAGUCCCGCAACGAGCGCAACCCUUGUCAUUAGUUGCUACAUUCAGUUGGGCACUCUAAUGAGACUGCCGGUGACAAACCGGAGGAAGGUGGGGAUGACGUCAAGUCCUCAUGGCCCUUAUAGGUGGGGCUACACACGUCAUACAAUGGCCGGUACAAAGGGUCGCCAACCCGCGAGGGGGAGCCAAUCCCAUAAAGCCAGUCGUAGUCCGGAUCGUAGUCUGCAACUCGACUACGUGAAGUCGGAAUCGCUAGUAAUCGUGGAUCAGAAUGUCACGGUGAAUACGUUCCCGGGUCUU
rnacentral:rRNA from 1 species